AGUGAACGCUGGCGGUAGGCCUAACACAUGCAAGUCGAACGGCAGCACAGUAAGAGCUUGCUCUUACGGGUGGCGAGUGGCGGACGGGUGAGGAAUACAUCGGAAUCUACUUUUUCGUGGGGGAUAACGUAGGGAAACUUACGCUAAUACCGCAUACGGCCUACGGGUGAAAGCAGGGGAUCUUCGGACCUUGCGCGAUUGAAUGAGCCGAUGUCGGAUUAGCUAGUUGGCGGGGUAAAGGCCCACCAAGGCGACGAUCCGUAGCUGGUCUGAGAGGAUGAUCAGCCACACUGGAACUGAGACACGGUCCAGACUCCUACGGGAGGCAGCAGUGGGGAAUAUUGGACAAUGGGCGCAAGCCUGAUCCAGCCAUACCGCGUGGGUGAAGAAGGCCUUCGGGUUGUAAAGCCCUUUUGUUGGGAAAGAAGAGCAGCAGGUUAAUACCCCGCUGUUCUGACGGUACCCAAAGAAGAAGCACCGGCUAACUUCGUG
rnacentral:rRNA from 1 species